UUAUGGGGACCCAUCGUCCUCUUGCCAAUUAUUUGGAUUUGGAACGUACAACACUACAACAUAUAAAAACAGUACAGUUAAACACUGAUUACUACAUUUUUGUUUUUCAACCACAUAUUACCACAAUUUCAAGGGAUGUUCUCACGAGUCUCCUUCAAUUCCAAUGGUGUAAAAUAAUUGAAUUGGCUAAUUCUAUGAAUUAUGUAUAUAAUUAAAACAUUUAUGUAUGUAAGCCUCAAAAUUCGACAGAAGUAUGGAAAUGUUUUUUCUAUAUGUGGUGUAACUAAACCUAAUU